rnacentral:rRNA from 1 species
GACGAACGCUGGCGGCGUGCUUAACACAUGCAAGUCGAACGGUAAGGCCCUUCGGGGUACACGAGUGGCGAACGGGUGAGUAACACGUGGGUGAUCUGCCCUGCACUUCGGGAUAAGCCUGGGAAACUGGGUCUAAUACCGGAUAGGACUCCGGACUGCAUGGUCUGGGGUGGAAAGCUUUUGCGGUGUGGGAUGGGCCCGCGGCCUAUCAGCUUGUUGGUGGGGUGAUGGCCUACCAAGGCGACGACGGGUAGCCGGCCUGGGAGGGUGACCGGCCACACGGGGACUGAGAUACGGCCCAGACUCCUACGGGAGGCAGCAGUGGGGAAUAUUGCACAAUGGGCGCAAGCCUGAUGCAGCGACGCCGCGUGAGGGACGACGGCCUUCGGGUCGUGAACCUCUUUCAGCAUCGACGAAGCGAAAGUGACGGUAGGUGCAGAAGAAGGACCGGCCAACUACGUGCCAGCCGCCGCCGUAA